rnacentral:rRNA from 1 species
AUUGAACGCUGGCGGCAUGCCUUACACAUGCAAGUCGAACGGCAGCACGGGAGCAAUCCUGGUGGCGAGUGGCGAACGGGUGAGUAAUAUAUCGGAACGUGCCCGGUCGUGGGGAUAACGUAGCGAAAGCUACGCUAAUACCGCAUACGAUCUACGGAUGAAAGCGGGGGAUCGCAAGACCUCGCGCGAUUGGAGCGGCCGAUAUCAGAUUAGGUAGUUGGUGAGGUAAAGGCUCACCAAGCCGACGAUCUGUAGCUGGUCUGAGAGGACGACCAGCCACACUGGGACUGAGACACGGCCCAGACUCCUACAGGAGGCAGCAGUGGGGAAUUUUUGGACAAUGGGCGCAAGCCUGAUCCAGCAAUGCCGCGUGCAGGAUGAAGG